rnacentral:rRNA from 1 species
GAUGAACGCUGGCGGCGUGCCUAACACAUGCAAGUCGAACGGAGUCGUUUUGGAAAUCUCUUCGGAGAUGGAAUUCUCGACUUAGUGGCGGACGGGUGAGUAACGCGUGAGCAAUCUGCCUUUAAGAGGGGGAUAACAGUCGGAAACGGCUGCUAAUACCGCAUAAAGCAUUAAAUUCGCAUGUUUUUGAUGCCAAAGGAGCAAUCCGCUUUUAGAUGAGCUCGCGUCUGAUUAGCUAGUUGGCGGGGUAACGGCCCACCAAGGCGACGAUCAGUAGCCGGACUGAGAGGUGGAACGGCCACAUUGGGACUGAGACACGGCCCAGACUCCUACGGGAGGCAGCAGUGGGGAAUAUUGCGCAAUGGGGGAAACCCUGACGCUGCAACGCCGCGUGAUUGAAGAAGGCCUUCGGGUUGUAAAGAUCUUUAAUCAGGGACGAAGCAAAUGACGGUACCUGAAGAAUAAGCUCCGGCUAACUACGUG